AGAGAGAGAGAACACAUGAAUGAGCACAAAACCCAGGAAGAUUGUUUCUGCCUGUAGGGAUUUAUUUAUGUGUUUUUCCCCUAUUAACCAAUUUAAAUCAAAGAAAGACACGGGCUUUAACUGAAAUCUGGCUGAGAGGAGCACUGCUAAAUGGUUUACAUAUGUAUAUACACACACAUACACAAUGUGUAUAUAUGCUGCAAAUCGUUGUAAUCACUUUCACUUGGUAUGUAAACAUAGACAAGUGGCUAUAUGGUUACUGAAUAGCCAAGACCUGACAUGCUUUACAGUGUGGUGUCAACCUAUCUCUUGUCCAGACUACCCUUUCUGCUGGCAUUUCAUACGUACAUCACGAACACAGCCUCUGUGUUCAAUUACUCCUGUUGCUGCCUCUCUGUGCAUCUCUUGCACUUUUUAGGAUCAAGUUAAUCAAUGCUGUAGCUUUCAGUGCUAUUUUAAGCAGUCCAUUGUAGGAAAUUAAGUCACAUCCUAGCCACAAAACAAAACAAGACAAAAUCUUCUCCACUUUACUAUAUAGUAAAACCUGAGAUUUGAGUCACAAACUAGCUAAACUUAGAGUAAAAAAGAAAAGAAAAAGAAAAGAAAAAGAAAGCUGCUGACUUGAAUUAGGGCUUCAGUGACCUCCACUGACACUUUCUUUUUAAAAAAAAAAAAGCUGUUGGGCAGGGAUAAGUACAUACAUUUCAUUUAUAAUUUUUCAGCUGCCCGCACUGAAAUUGGAUAAAACGCUGAGGCCUACAGCCCCCCCACCAUGUGCGUGUUGUGAAGUGUCCUGGGGAAGAGCUCAAGAGUGCACACACAGCUUGUGCUUCUGGUACCACUCCUCGCUUACUGUAAACCUCUUACAGUAUUACCUGGCAAUUUGAGAAGUAGCAGCCAACAUACUGCAAGAAUCACAAGCUGGAGGGGAAGCAGCUGGUUCACUGUCAAAAACAACACAUAGGAAAGGUUGUGCCUAAUCUCCCAUGAAACACCCCUGCUAGCAGCAGGGAAUGACACCUCAGGAAGCUGGCAGAUGCUCCAGCUCACUGCAGACCAGAAAGGUGCAGCUUGCAGCGUCCACAGCCACACUGCAACAGCACCUGCAGGCACCAAGAUUCCAGCUGGGGACAGAGGACAACAGCCUGAAUGAAGUCCCUCUGGAGCUGUGUGUGCUGGAAGUGAGCAGGCUGUCUCCUUGCAAACCCAGUUUCUUUUACAUGUUAUGAGCAGGGACUCCACAGUCCCCCUUCUCUUUAGUUAUCCAAUGAAAACAGGCCUCUUUCUCCAAUGAGGUCAGCAAACCCAAUAGGGAGCAUCCAUCUCAGAAUCCCCACAGUUCGUGUGAGGAUAUUAAAAGAGGGAAAAAAAAGAAAAAAAAAGAAUUAUCCCCAUCCAAUCUUUUAGGACAUGUGACUGGAACUGUGUAUGACAAGUUCCUUAAUGUUACUGCUCAUCCCUCCAAACCCUACUAUUUAUUUCAGAAGAAGAAGCCUUUAAAAUUCAUCUGCUGAAUUGGGGGGAAAAAAGGGAAAAAAAAUAAAAAAAGUUCUGCAGUCUUUUGACCUCUCUUGCACAUAGCCCUAAGUAUUAACCACUCCAUUACAGCUUAGAAGCCAGAAUAGCUACCCUCUCCCAGAAGCCAGCGUAAUAACCCAAUAUCAAAACUACAAAUCCUGCUUAUUUUAUGUUUUAAAAGACUGGGGGAAAUAGUCAUAAGUCUGAUUCACUUGUCUUCUUUACAAAAACCUGCUGCUAAGCCAACUGAAACACUUGUGCGUAGACAGCUUAAAAAAAAAUGUGGCUAGUUGUUAUUUGUUCACAUUGCUUAUGAACUGACCACCCACAACUGGCAGCCAUAAAGCCCUAAGUUUAUUUUUUAUAUUUUUGAGGUACUGGUUUUUCUCUUAAGCAGCUCUCUAGCAAAUCAUCUAAAGCCUAUCAAUUAGAACAAUAGUUACACCAGUAUUUACAUUUGUCUGAACUCUAUUUUCAGACCAGCCUUGCUGUAACCAGUCCCUACUUCCUUUGGAAUCACUCUCAGUCUCCUUUCUUACAGGAGAAAGGUCUCCCUCCAGAGGAUGGCUCAGUGUCAGGGCUAAGGUGCACUGGUGAAGACUUGGGGCAUAGGGAGGGGAGAAUCAAACUAGCUUUGAUCAGUAGAAGCGUAUCUCAGUGGAAUCAGAGAAAUGGUCUGAUACCAAGACAGCUUUCUGUUUAAAACAUUGAAAGGAUGUGCAAUCCAUUGCAUAUAAUUGCUUCAUCUGCCAGGGAAAACUUCUGAAAUGUUCUGCCCUUCUCCAGGAAAGAGAAAAUCCCACCAGUAUACUUGGUCUCCUCAUGCAGAUGCUCACUUCUCAUUUCUCUGCUGUAUUAAUCUAGUCACUGCAUUCACACUGAAGUCCCACAUUUCCCCCUGACCUCCUGUCCAUAUACACACUUUUGUAUAAAGUCUGUUGUUUUCAGAUUUACAGGAACUCUUAAACACUAGGGGAGCAGCCUGGAGGGGGAAGCAAUUCUGGUACAGUCACACAAGUCUGCUACUUCAAGACACUUCAAUGAUUUCCAUGCUGCCUGAAAAGCUCGACUGACUGCCUACUUUCCCCAGUUCUUCUCUGGAUCUGUUGUCUGACAUGAUGCUCUCCCCAAACUCCAUCUGGCAGCUUCUGCGCUUAAACUGCUUUUCAAAGGAGCUUUCCUCAUGCCAGCUCCGCCUGGAGUCACCUCGAUCACCCUGCUUUGGCCUCCUGCGCACAGCACAGGCUUGGUCGCAGCCUGUGGGCAGCUGACUGCAGCUGUAGGCAGAGUAAGCUGCACUAUUCCCAUAGAUGGCAGAGGCAGAGUAGAAGUGUGAGGACUCGGCUGCAAAAUACCAGCUGUUGGUAAGGGACGUGGCAGAUGUUUGAGGAGCCAAGAUGUCCGAGUGCCAGCCUUUGAGGCCUAGACCAGCGGCGGACUUUGCCAGAUGUUGCUGACUAGUGGAGAGACCAAACAGGAAGUUUGUUUGGUAGUUGUCUUCCAUGCUCCCGCUCCUGUGGAGGGGGUACAACAGUGACCGCUGCAUGGCAGUGCCACCGCUGGCUCUCCCCAGGUGUUGCCGUUUGCUCUGGCUAUCCAGCUGCCAGGCGUUCUGGGGAUUCUUGGGAGGGUUUGCUUCAUCUUUAUCAGGGCUAGUUUCUGAGGUCUGCUCUGAGACCUCCUGGACAGGGGAGAACUGACACAAUUUGCUGCUACCAUCUAAAGCAGUCGCAUGUUUGUAGUACUCCAGAGUGUCUUCGGAGGAAGCAAAGCCCUGAACGGAUGCAGUCACACAGUUGCUACUUGCCGAGUAGGAUACAGAUUUGAUAUCCAAAGAAAAGGAACGCUUCAGCCGGUUGCUGUCUUCUACCUUAUCUAGGGACACGUGGAGUCCGUUUAUACCCUGUACCAAUGGGCUGUCUUCCAAAGAUGGCAAGCGUGUGCCUGGCAUGCUUACAGAGUCUGUUGACUUCUGCUCCACAAUCUCAGAGGUAGAGAAUUAUAAUGGUACUAGAUGACAAGAGAGUAUUAACAAGGGAAUAGAUCUUGAAGACCUAAAUCUAAUACAAACACACACGGAAUGGAUCACUUGGAGAAUUAAAUGUUUUUAAAAGCAGAAAAAUCUCUCUGAGGAUAUGUGAAAAAGCUAAGUGUGCAGUCAUUAAAAACAGCAUAGGAAAAAUUCCUACAUGUACUUGUCCAUAUGGUAUAUACCAAUAGAAAUGCAAGCAAGCAUAUGAAAGAACUGAACAAAAUAUACCUUUUUGCGUUUUCAUACAAUUUCAAGGAUGCCUAGCUUUUUGAACACAGCACAAGCUAUUUUUUUCUGUUAAUUCCCUGAAUAGUUGAAAUAGUCAAGCUGAUACUAUGAACUGGAAGAUCACAUGGAACCAGAAAUUUCCCAAUAUACAAAUGAAGGGACAGAAAAGGAUGAAGGAAAGCUUUUUGGAGAGGCUACCAGAACACAGAUCAGAAAUAGCAAUGCAAACAAAAGGAUCUUGCUUUAUAGAACUACUACAGUAACAAGCACAACUAGCUUUGACAGGAGAAGAAUGAACAAAGACUCUAUCAAUUCUUCUGACUGAAUUGCUUACACUGGAAUGAAGGCCCUCAAAUUCAAAGAUUGAACUUAAGAAUCUCUCAUGGGACUUAGUAUUUUUCUUCAUUUGCCAACCUCUUCCUCUUCCUACUGCCAAAUACAGGACAUUCCUAAAUUAAAACUAACCUGGAGGGAAGGGAGGAGUGGAAGAAAAGGGGUUUCUAGAAAGUCUCUGCAUCCUCCUGACAAGCGUUAAGGCUUUGCACAACCUUUUUUAUUUUAGGACAUGCAGUCUUUUUCUAAUUGGAGAAUAUAUGUAACAAUUUUCAUGCUUGUUUCCCUUGCGUGGUGAACUUUACUGCAGUUUAAAUUCCAUAUACUUGCCUACUCAGAGCAAAGACCAACAUCAUCAUUCUACAGGUAGGAAUUAAGUGUGUGAUGUCUGCAUACAACUACUAAUUUGUUUAUGGAGGAAGCCUACGUUUAAAGCAAGACUGCCUGAAAGCCAAUGGACCAGACCACAUGAUAAAAUAAUGUAUCUGCUUCUUUCUUUGGUCAUACAAUUGUUUACCAUUCACUUUAAAAACAAGCUGACAGGCACAAGAAUUAAUGUCUUGGGAGAAUGAAAAUUUUGUCCUUACCUGUAAGCUUCAUCUAAGGACAUAUCCAUUCUCUUCAUGAUAUAUGCAAUAGCAAUUGUGGCAGAGCGAGAUAUUCCAGCCAAACAGUGCACUAACACACGUCCAUUUGAUGCUUUUGCUUUUUCUGCAUAGCAAAGGAGUUGUUAAGUGUCAGUCUCAGUAGUAUUACAGCAUGAUGAAGAGUUUGCAAAAAAACACUGUUUUUAAAAUUGUUCGAACUUCCACAUUAACUGCUUAUUGAGGAUCUCAUGGAAGCUUUAAACAAAAGACACUUAUUUUCUCUUUCACUGAACUUAAUAAAGGAGACUUGACUACACAUAGAAA